GUGUGUGUGGAAGGGAGAGAGCUGUGCGAGCGUGGGGGAGAGUUUUUCGUUGGAAUAUACGUUGCACAUUUAUGGCGAUUCUGAGUGUGAGGGCAGACUUCUGCCAGGCUCAGCACAGCAUUUUCGCUGACAAGUGAGCUUGGAGGUUCUAUGUGCCAUAAUUAACAUUGCCUUGAAGACUCCUGGACACCGAGACUGGCCUCAGAAAUAGUUGGCUUUUUUUUUUUUAAUUGCAAGCAUAUUUCUUUUAAUGACUCCGGUAAAAUUAAGCAUCAAGUAAACAAGUGAAAAGUGACCUACACUUUUAACUUGUCUCACUAGUGCCUAAAUGUAGUAAAGGCUGCUUAAGUUUUGUAUGUAGUUGGAUUUUUUGGAGUCCGAAGGUAUCCAUCUGCAGAAAUUGAGGCCCAAAUUGAAUUUGGAUUCAAGUGGAUUCUAAAUACUUUGCUUAUCUU
rnacentral:sRNA from 1 species